rnacentral:rRNA from 1 species
AAAGAAAGAGGGAGGCAUGCCUAACACAUGCAAGUCGAACGAGACCUUCGGGUCUAGUGGCGCACGGGUGCGUAACGCGUGGGAACCUGCCCUUAGGUUCGGAAUAACUCCCCGAAAGGGGUGCUAAUACCGGAUAAUGUCUUCGGACCAAAGAUUUAUCGCCUUUGGAUGGGCCCGCGUUGGAUUAGCUAGUUGGUAGGGUAAAAGCCUACCAAGGCGACGAUCCAUAGCUGGUCUGAGAGGUUGAUCAGCCACACUGGGACUGAGACACGGCCCAGACUCCUACGGGAGGCAGCAGUGGGGAAUAUUGGACAAUGGGCGAAAGCCUGAUCCAGCAAUGCCGCGUGAGUGAUGAAGGCCUUAGGGUUGUAAAGCUCUUUUACCCGGGAUGAUAAUGACAGUACCGGGAGAAUAAGCUCCGGCUAACUCCGUG